rnacentral:tRNA from 1 species
GCUCCGAUAGUGUAGCUCGGCCCAUCAUUCCGGGCUUUCGCCCCGAAUCUGGCUGAAUUCAAUAUUGAAUCUAAGCGGAAGGACCCGGGUUCAAAUCCCGGUCGGAGCA